rnacentral:rRNA from 1 species
GGACCGUCAUGUUGGUCGUGCCUCGGUACGUACUGAUAUUUUCGGUUUCUCCCUUCUGACGAACCUUGAUGUCAUUAAUUUGGUGUUGCGGGGAAUUUGGACUGUUACUUUGGAAAAAUUAGAGUGUUUAAAGCAAGCUAACGCUUGAAUACAUUAGCAUGGAAUAAUGAAAUAGGACGUUCGAUCCUAUUUUGUUGGUUUCUAGGAUUGACGUA